CGAUUCUCCUGCCUCAACCUCCCGAGUAGUUGGGAUAACAGAUGAGGAAACAGGUUAAACAAUUUCCCAAACUCAUCAGUGGGUAAGUGGUCUUAAUCUGGAGAAAACUGUUAACUACUUUCUAUAGUACUGCUCUCACAUGCUAAACUGAAAAACAUUAAUAUACCCAUAGUCAACACAUGGUAUACAUCUCUUCCAACCUGUCCACCCUCCUCCUACCUCUAUUGGCAUGAUCUAGGGACUGGUCUCUCUCCUUCAAAACUCUCCUUAGAGAGAAAGCAGUGGUGUAGUCAAGAGAAGUUGACUUCCAAGAGAAAGUAGUUGUAGUCCUAGUUUCUGGUAACUGGAGCUUUAGACACUAAUCUGAAAGAUGUUUCUAAAAGGCAAAUCUGAUGGGGUCACUCAUCAAUUAAACCCUGUGUUGACUCUCUUGGACUUCAAGACAAACAUCUUUGGCCCUUAACACAGUUUCUUCAGACUCACUUCUUGCCACUUCCCUAUAUAUCUUAAAUUAUUCACAGUUCCCCUCUGAAAACUCCAUGCUCUCUCACCUCUGAACCUUUUUGAGUAUCUCUUCACCUUAGCUCUCUGCCCCAUGCCUAUUCUUUUCCCUUAUCAACCUCUAACAUCUUUUUUAGGACUUUCUACAGAAAUCUUCCAGAUGCUCAUGAGGAUCAGAUAAGAGCCUCUUUGUCCCCCUUCAUGCCUGCGCUUAUCUUAUUAUAUAGAUACCACUUCAUUUUCUGAGAGUACUUGUCUACUUCUCUGACCUCCCUACCUGGACCCUAAGCUCCUUGGACUAUAAAGCACCAGUAGUACAACAGUCCUAUCCUCAAGGAAAGGUAGGAAGAAUAUUAAUCUCUCCUCUAAAAUAGUUCUGGGGUGGCUGCCGUACAUACAGCUCUAUCAUAGUGUUGGGAUCCUAACUCAAAUCAUUAGACAAGGACAGACAUCAGAGACCCAUGGUGAAUUAAGUUUGUACUUUUCAGGGAAUCACAAAGAUACUAAGAAUAUAGGAAGAAACAAAAACCAGGAACCUUGCCUUGUAACCAUCUCCUUUCUCAGGUAAGCAUACUUAUUUAGUACAGAAUACAUUGUGAAGUACCUAUGCCACAUAUGUGCUAAGGGCUAUUAGGUGAGGGGACAUGAUCAUGAGCACAAUAAGCAUGAACUCUGACUUCAGAGCUGAGCAUUUAGAGGGAGACACAGACACUGAAUCAACCAAAGACACACAAGUAUCAAAUGAAAACCUUGAUAGAUGCUACCAAGAAAAAGUCAUUUAUAAGCUCAUAAAUGGGGAACCGGAAUGGGUGGGUAGAGGGCAAAUGUAAGAGCACUUCCAUUAAAAAGUGACUCAUAGGUAAGAUUGAAAGACUAGGAAUUACUCAGGCUGAGGCUGAGAAGAGGGGGAUAAGAAUGAGGUGCUUCCUAGUCUGAGCUGAAGUGGGGGUGGGCCUGGAGCUUGGCUCUUGAAGGAACUGAAAGAACAGUACAGCUGGAGAGAAGAGAGGCAAAAAAGGUAGGCAGACAUCGCCUGGUUGCAUUGCAGGCCUGAACUCACCUUAUCUUCUGGAGGACAAUACCUUGAUUCUCUCUGGAAAAAUCGUGGGGGAAAGCCCUGUGUAUGGUGUUCAGUGUGCUUGAGACGAUGAGAUGGAACUGAACACAGACUGGGAGCCAGGCCAGCUUGGGUUUGAAUCUUGUGAGUAACAUGGUAGUGACUGUGGCUAAUGAUCAUUAAUAAUAAGUAAAGUGCUGAAGUCAUAAGGCUCCUUCCAGUGACUCCUGUCACUUCCAAUCACUUCUAGUUGAAGCCUAGAGGUAAUUAUUCACUUUACCAAAGGAUUCACUAUAAGCAUCCUUUAAAUAGUACCCCCUAAGGCACCUAAAAUAGAUGUGAUUGACACAGGCAAAUCAUGCAAUUCUGGAGGGACUCCCUCUUAAGGAGACCUGAAGCUGGCUGUGACUGGCUGUGAUCAUCUGGUCAUGAUAUACUGAUAACAGGUCUCUGAGCAAACUAGUAUAUGAAAAUCAUUGCCAAGAAAGCCUAGAAUCCUUAGUAGAAAUCUCAGAGUCCCAGAAACUUUGAGAGAAUAUGUUAGUUGGAGGAAAAAUAAGCCUUGUCUUCCCUCCUUCUUUGUUCUCUGCCUACCUCUGGCCCAACCUCAAAUCUUUAAAUUUAAAUGAUGUGGCCCAGCAGAGGCCAGUGGCAUAAAGAUGGUUUCUCUCCCUCCAUUCUCUUUGGAGCUGGUGGGAACUGGUUGGAAGGGAGGUUUCUGCUCUUUUCCAAAGCCUCUCAGAGCUCUCCUCAUUCCUGGUAGGCCCUCAGCACUCCUACUGUGAACCAGCUGCUCCCGCCUUGAGACUCUGUCUUCUCUGCUUUAAGCUGUGCUCUAAUGUGCGUGAUUGUAUGUAUUUGAUUUUGAAAAUUUGGAGAAUUCUAUGGAAAACUCUAAUUUCUUUGUAUUUCUACCUGACCUCUGCUCCUCCCUUGAGAAGGAGUUGGAUUAUGGAAUAAGAAGUUUAGGGUAUAUCUAGACCGGGCAAGUCUUCUUUCUGAAAAGCACAGUACCUUGGCACAUAGUCCAGGAACUGGGAACCAAACUGGAAAAAAAAAAAAAA